GAUGAACGCUAGCGGGAGGCCUAAUACAUGCAAGUCGAACGGUAAAUGGUAGCAAUACUAUGAGAGUGGCGUACGGGUGCGUAACGCGUACACAACCUGCCUUGUACUGGGGGAUAGCCUCGGGAAACUGAGAUUAAUACCCCAUAAUUUUACGAUGUGGCAUCACAUUGUAAUUAAAGCUCCGGCGGUACAAGAUGGGUGUGCGUCCGAUUAGGUAGUUGGUGAGGUAACGGCUCACCAAGCCGACGAUCGGUAGCUGGUCUGAGAGGACGAUAAGCCACACGGGCACUGAGACACGGGCCCGAAUCCUACGUGAGGAAGCAUUAGGGAAUAUUGGACAAUGGACGCAAGUCUGAUCCAGCCAUCCCGCGUGAAGGAUUAAGGCCCUCUGGGUUGUAAACUUCUUUUCUUUGGGAAUAAAAAGCGGUAUUCAUAUCGCCUUGAAGGUACCAGGGGAAUAAGCACCGGCUAACUCCGUGCCAGCCGCCGCCGUAA
rnacentral:rRNA from 1 species